UACGUAGGGCGCAAGCGUUGUCCGGAAUUAUUUGGGCGUAAAGAGCUCGUAGGCGGUCUGUUACGUCCGCUGUGAAAACCUAGGCUUAACCCUGGGCUUGCAGUGGAUACGGGCAGACUAGAGGUAGGUAGGGGAGAAUGGAAUUCCUGGUGUAGCGGUGAAAUGCGCAGAUAUCAGGAGGAACACCGGUGGCGAAGGCGGUCUCUAGUACGGUACUGACGCUGAGACGCGAAAGCGUGGGAGCGAACAGGAUUAGACUACCCGG
rnacentral:rRNA from 1 species